rnacentral:rRNA from 1 species
GACGAACGCUGGCGGCGUGCUUAACACAUGCAAGUCGAACGAUGAACCCGGAGCUUGCUCCGGUGGAUUAGUGGCGAACGGGUGAGUAACACGUGAGUAACCUGCCCUUGACUCUGGGAUAACUGCGGGAAACUGUAGCUAAUACCGGAUACGACCCUCGGCGGCAUCGCCAGGGGGUGAAAGAAUUUCGGUCAAGGAUGGACUCGCGGCCUAUCAGCUAGUUGGUGAGGUAAUGGCUCACCAAGGCGACGACGGGUAGCCGGCCUGAGAGGGUGACCGGCCACACGUGGGACUGAGACACGGCCCAGACUCCUACGGGUGGCAG